rnacentral:lncRNA from 1 species
CCGCCAAUAGGGAAGCGGCCAAGGGACGAGGCCACGCCCCCCUGGCCGGCCCGCCGGGGAGCCCCGCUCCGGCAGGGGGCGCCAUUUUGUGCCUCCCACCCCUCCGCCAGGGGGCGCCAUUUUGUGCCGCCCCGCCGAGGGGCGCUGUCGGUCCUGUGGGGGCUGCAGCCCCGCUGGGCGCUGUGGGGUGCCCAGAUCCUGCAGUUCCUUCGGCUUUUGUUUGGGGGGCUGAGGGAGAGCAAGACGCAGCCAGGACCGAAGGACCCUCAGCCCUUCCUGGGCUGUCACCGAUGGCACAGCCUGCCUUGCAGAGCGGCUCCGGGCUCCUUGGACAGCCUCGGGGCUGCUUUGACUCACACCUGCUUGCCCCAAGGCUCCUUGGUGCAUCCUAGUCCCCUUGGGCUCCAUCUGAGGAGAACCCUCGAAGGCUUGAAGGCAAAACAAGCAAAAACAAGCCAUGGGCCUCAGAGAUGAUGUGAGUAGGGCCUGAGGUUUGCACUAGAAAUCACUCAUGCUUGUGGGAAAGACAGAGAACUCUUGCAGACAAUGGAGAAAAAUAUUUGUGCAGCUUACGGAGAGACAUCCAGGGGGACUGAACUGUUGCUGGAAGGAACCUCUGACUCCAGCUUGCCUCAUCAGUUUGGGAAGCGGCGCCUCCCGUGUAACUUCAUCAGAGUUCACAGACCUCCCCCCAUGUCCCAUGAACUUGGAAAGCUUGUUCCCCUCCAUGCUGGCACGAGGACUGCUGGUAUUGCAGAGCCUCUUGGCAAAGGUUCUCUGCUGCUCAUGGGGGAUUGGAAAGCUGGAACACCACCUUGGAGUAAAGAGACAGGUGUCAUUGGAAAAAAAAUAAAUAAAGCUUUUUGUUCUCAGUGCCUGUGUUCAUCUGAAUGGAAAAUCCAGGCGAGGAUCUCCAGAGCCCACGGUUCACAAUGACAGCUCUCCUGGUUUCUAAUUUUGGAACAAAGUACUCCUCACCACUGCUUUUCCUAAACACCCCCGGUACAUUUUCAGAGCAUGAUUUCAUAGGAUCUAACAGAAGGAGGGACUGUGAAGACACACAUACAGAAUCUCAGAAGGAGCAACAUCUGUGUAAGUAAAAUGUACAAGCCUUUAUUAUCAAGGUAAACUACAGAGUGGAAGCAACGAGCACUCUUUUAGAAAGCACUGGCUUGAGCGUGCGACCGGAUUUGUAUGCUCCUACAGGGAAAUAUAAAGGAAAUAAAACUGUCCUCCGGUGAUGUGACA